AGCAGCCGCGGUAAUUCCAGCUCCAAUAGCGUAUAUUAAAGUUGUUGCAGUUAAAAAGCUCGUAGUUGAAUUUCGGGGUUAGUACGCUGGUCGUGCCUUCGGUAUGUACUGGUGUUACUGAUUCCUACCUUCUGACGAACCGUCAUGUCAUUCAUUUGGUGUGGCGGGGAAUCAGGACUGUUACUUUGAAAAAAUUAGAGUGUUUAAAGCAGGCUCGCGCUUGAAUACAUUAGCAUGGAAUAAUGAAAUAGGACGUUCGAUCCUAUUUUGUUGGUUUCUAGGAUUGACGUAAUGAUUAAUAGGGAUAGUUGGGGGCAUUAGUAUUCAAUUGUCAGAGGUGAAAUUCUUGGAUUUAUUGAAGACUAACUACUGCGAAAGCAUUUGCCAAGGAUGUUUUCAUUAAUCAAGAACGAAAGUUAGGGGAUCGAAGACGAUCAGAUACCGUCGUAG
rnacentral:rRNA from 1 species